AUCUUUUUGAUAAUUCAACAUCCAGUAUUUCAUACUGCCUACUCCCACCUCGAACGAGAAAGAGAUCUAAGGCAUCUUUGAAGAAAGUCAAGCAGGAAUAGAUGGCCUGCCCCUAGCUCUAAAUAAUCUCUAUACUUUGCUAUCACAGGAGUGCUUUCAUUCCCUGCCACCCGCUUCUAUAAUUGGCUGUUCCUUAUCGGCAUCUCAAGAAAAAAUCUUUCAUGAUCCAUUCCGGAAUUGGAUAGAGAAUAGUUGGGAUAUUCCACUGGGAGGGAGAGGCGGGGGUGACAUCAGAAGUAGGAUCGUCGAACGGAUAGCAGCAUCCCUUUCUCGAUGAAGUUCUGCACGAUUUGGUUAGUUUAGAAGUCAGCCUGAACUUACUUUGAAGUCUUUGCUCAGCCCGAGCAUUCCUACCUUGCCUCGAGCGCUAGGCAAUUAUCCAAACAAAGGAUGGGUGGAAUGAGGCUUCAAACCCGGGGCAUCAAAGCCUUUUCGGCAAUCAAUGUAUAGACCAGUAAUUUCGUAGUAUAGUAAACAGGCACAACAUCACUGUCAAGGGCAUUCUUCUGAGGCAAAAAGCAAAGAGUUGGACCUUCGGAGGUUAAUUUCUUUCUUAGAUGCUGUGUGCAGCUGCCUUCCAACUAUCGGAAAUCCGUUCCAGUACGGGCGCUGGAGUUCCUUAAUGCAGCUGGUGGUCUUAUAGUAGAGUGAUCCACGGGUAGUUAUCUAUGAGUUGAGCAAUGCCUUCACAAUCAUCACCUGUUAUGACAAUGUCAUAAAUAUAAACUACCAAACAAAUACACUUGCCAUGAGGUGUAUGUCGGUAAAACAUUGAAUAAAUUGCCUCACUCCAAAACAUCCCAAACUAGUAGACAACGAUACUAAGCUGACCAAACCAUGUCCUCAUUGAUUGCUUUAGACCAUAAAGAGACCAACGUAGUUAACACAUUACCAGACUUCCAUGAGCAACAAACCCUAAAGGUUGCUCCAUAUAAACUUCUUUAAUGAGUUCUCCAUGUAAGAAGGCAUUUUUAUGUCCAAUUGAUGAAGAGGUCGGUGAAACAUGGCAACUAUAGAGAUAAAAAAG
rnacentral:misc_RNA from 1 species